GGUUGGUCCAAGUGCAGUGGUGUUUACAACUAAUUGAUCACAACCAGUUACAGAUUCCUUUGUUCCUUCUCCACUCCCACUGCUCCACUUGACCAGCCUUUA
ensembl:misc_RNA Y_RNA Y RNA